rnacentral:rRNA from 1 species
AAAGGAAGUUGACGGGGAGCACCACAACGGUGGAGCCUGCGGUUUAAUUGGAUCAACGCCGGAAAGCUUACCGGGGCGACAGCAAUAUGAAGGUCAGGCUGAAGACCUUACCGGAUUCGCUGAGAGGUGGUGCAUGGCCGUCGUCAGUUCGUACUGUGAAGCAUCCUGUUAAGUCAGGCAACGAGCGAGACCCACGCCCACAGUUGCCAGCGAUCCCUCCGGGGAGGCGGGUACUCUGUGGGGACCGCCGCUGCUAAAGCGGAGGAAGGAAUGGGCAACGGUAGGUCAGUAUGCCCCGAAUCCCCCGGGCUACACGCGGGCUACAAUGGUCGGCACAAUGGGUACCGACCCCGAGAGGGGUAGGCAAUCUCCUAAAGCCGAUCGUAGUUCGGAUUGAGGGCUGAAACUCGCCCUCAUGAAGCUGGAAUCGCUAGUAAUCGCGGAUCAGCACGCCGCGGUGAAUACGUUCCCGGGCCUU